UGCCUUACACAUGCAAGUCGAACGGCAGCACGGGCUUCGGCCUGGUGGCGAGUGGCGAACGGGUGAGUAAUACAUCGGAACGUGCCCUGUAGUGGGGGAUAACUAGUCGAAAGAUUAGCUAAUACCGCAUACGACCUGAGGGUGAAAGCGGGGGACCGUAAGGCCUCGCGCUACAGGAGCGGCCGAUGUCUGAUUAGCUAGUUGGUGGGGUAAAAGCCUACCAAGGCGACGAUCAGUAGCUGGUCUGAGAGGACGAUCAGCCACACUGGGACUGAGACACGGCCCAGACUCCUACGGGAGGCAGCAGUGGGGAAUUUUGGACAAUGGGGGCAACCCUGAUCCAGCAAUGCCGCGUGUGUGAAGAAGGCCUUCGGGUUGUAAAGCAC
rnacentral:rRNA from 1 species